GGUUGGUCCAGGCUUAGGGGUUUUGGAUAUUGCAAGCAUGUACUGUAGUGGAUGGCCCUGCGACGGAGUUUGAUGCGCCUUCCAUGGGUGAAGAGCAGAUCUCCGGGUUAUUCAGGAGGAUGCUGGAAAUGUGGACGGGGCUGUGGGCAGGGCAGAGGGCAGAUCAGCGAGCAGAGCCGAAUGCAGAGCGCACAUCAGCUCCUUCAGGCUCCCCACAUCUCAGCAGUCCACGCUCACAGGAUAAUGCUAACUUGGAGACGCAGACGUCUGAGCAGAUGUUCCUAAAGGACACGGUCCGCAUCUUCACGUGGAGCAAGGCCUGUUGUGUGCAUCACGUCUCGAGCGUGCCGGAGGAUGAGGAGACGGAGAACAGGCCGGAGCAAACAGAAAACGACAUGCCCCAGCUGCUGCUCCAGGACAGGCCGGACCUCACGAUGGAUGCCAUGAUGGAUGCUGCAACAAGAAGCAUGACGGAUAUGAUGACAGACACUGACAUCCAGUUUGACUUCCCUAAAGAGAACUAGGAGGUCUCUGUUCUCCUCCCCUUUCCCAGCUGUGUCUGAAGCUGUUUCCACCUCUCCAGAACCGAUCUGCCCCAGGAAAUAAAAGGUUUCGU
ensembl:lncRNA